AGCUUUGUGCAGUGGCAGCAUCGUCGCCAAUGAGGUUUAUCCGAGGUGCGAUUAUUGCUAAUUGAAAGCUUUUCCCAAUACCCCGCCGUGACGACUUGCAAUACAGUCGGCACUGGCGAUUUUUGACAGUCUCUACAGAGA
ensembl:snRNA U4 U4 spliceosomal RNA